rnacentral:snRNA from 1 species
GUGCUCGCUUUGGCAGCACAUAUACUAAAAAUGGAACGAUACAGAGAAGAUUAGCAUAGCCCCUGCGCAAGGAUGACACACAAAUUCGUGAAGUGUUCCAUAUUUAA